ensembl:lncRNA
UAUAGCUCUCACCAAUGGAGGAAUGUGUUUUUCUGAGUCAGUUGAUGAUGCUGAUCGCUAUGCUAGCACUUUUAGCCACAUUAGCAUAGCUAGCAUAGUUAGCAUAAUAAGCAUUUUAGGUAUUGUGUUUUUCUGAAUCAGUUGAUGAUGCUGAUCGCAAUGCUAGCACUUUUAGCUAUGUUAGCAUAACUAGCAUAGUUAGCAUAAUUAGCAUUUUAGGUAAUGUAUUUUUCUGAGUUAGUUCAAGAUGCUGAUCGCAAUGCUAGCACUUUUAGCCACAUUAGCAUAGCUACCAUAGUUAGCAUAAUUAGCAAAUCCAGCCUUGACUAGCUUUAAGUUUUUGGGCGAUGAGGUCGGUGAAGGCGGAGAGGGCGGCGGUGUUGCGUAGAGUUGGGCGUGGAAGGCGGGUUGCGUCUGCGGGCCAUACAACGCCGCUUGCGGCUUUAAUUAAAAAUUGUGACUUUAACAUUUUUAAGUUUGAGAGUUACUAUUGUUGGCAGAAAUUAAAACACAAUUUUUGAUCACUUCUAAUGAAUAAGGAUAGUAUGCAAGUACAAGCUAGGCAUUAUAAAACUCUGCAGGAAAUGUACAAAAAGUAGAAGCCCAAGCUGAUCUUAACAGUUUCAGGCCAAACGAGCUUAUAGAUAGAUACCAGAGCUUCAUCCAUCGUGGAUGUUUAUCCAGAGAACUGCAUCAUUGGAAGCAAACUUUGCUCUGGUGAAGGCCCUUCCCAUUCUCUUUCCCCCAGUGGCACCUCCAUCAAAGAAACUGGGGUGUGCUAGUGAAGCUUUACUGCAUGUUCAGGAGUCAACAGAAGAUCCAAACGUCUUCAUCCAGAAGAGAGGCCUGUCAAGUCCAGUCUUGGUGUUCGAUGGCUGUAGAUGAAUCGUUGCUAUUGGUUUGAUGCCAGUGACGUUUGAAAAAGAAAAGCUUCACGAGGGUCUGAUUUUCUAAAUGGCAUAUUAUUACACACUACAUCUGACCUACACAAAUUGCGUGUCCACCCUUCUGUCAUUCAGACAGAGAUCCUUCAGGAUACAAUUCACAAGUGGGACAUCACCACCACAUGAAAGAGCAUUAAAGUAAAGAAUUUGUUGGAAGAUGAACUGCUUUUGCAGUUCAAUGUUUAUGUCUGUUCUUUAGAUGAGUAUUCUAAUUGUGUUUUUAAAGAAAUAGUUCUAUUCCUAGUGCCUUUGGGUAAAUUUGUAUCACAAAUCUCAGUUUGUAAGUUGAAUAAAAGAAUCGAAAAGUGAGUUUGUUUUCAUUCUUUUUAGUAUUGAAACAAGAAAAAAUCUUUUGCAACAGCUUGUUUCAAGAUUUAUUUUCUGAAUUUUAGUGGGCAAUACAUUUUAAUCAAGCUCCUAUAUCCUAGUUUUUUUGCCUUAAAUUACUGCUUAAAAUAAGUGUUUUUGCCUAAUUUCAAGAUUUAACCAAUUUACUAUGGCUUAGAUAUUUUUACUUAAAUCAAGACAUCUUGUUAAGUAAAAUUUACUAGCUGCACUGGCAGAUAAUUUGACUUAUUUCUAGUCAAUUACUACUAAAAACAACGUUUUUUGCAGUGUUGCGGUCCCGAUCUAGCAGCAGCACCAAAGUUACACCCACUCAAUUGAAUUAAUUUAAAUGACUGUCUGAUAAGUAUGUGUUAUUUUUAAGCUGACUUAACUGAAAUAAUUGAUUUAUGAUUUAUAAAUGAUUUAUCUUAACUAAAGCAAAUAAUUAAGUUAGAUCAAAGUAAAAACGUUUAUCUUUCCAAAAUCCAUACAUGGUCUUAUCACCCUCUCAUGGUGGAAAAAGUAUUAUCUGAGCUUCUUCAUCCACUAAAUCAUCUUCAAAUGGACACGCCAUGCUGCUUCACCUCUCUGAAAACAAACUAACCUUCAACUAAACCUGCUCCAGACCAGGGGGGUAUUCCAGGAAGCAUGUUUAAACUACCCUUACUGUAACCCUGAACUCUGGCUGAAAUCCACCUGAACUUGCUUACUCUGGGUAUGUCCGUUCCAAAAGACCAGAUAUGAGUUAGCGUAAUUACCC